rnacentral:rRNA from 1 species
GCAGCUUGCUGCUUCGCUGACGAGUGGCGGACGGGUGAGUAAUGUCUGGGAAGCUGCCUGAUGGAGGGGGAUAACUACUGGAAACGGUAGCUAAUACCGCAUAAUGUCGCAAGACCAAAGAGGGGGACCUUCGGGCCUCUUGCCAUCGGAUGUGCCCAGAUGGGAUUAGCUUGUUGGUGGGGUAACGGCUCACCAAGGCGACGAUCCCUAGCUGGUCUGAGAGGAUGACCAGCCACACUGGAACUGAGACACGGUCCAGACUCCUACGGGAGGCAGCAGUGGGGAAUAUUGCACAAUGGGCGCAAGCCUGAUGCAGCCAUGCCGCGUGUAUGAAGAAGGCCUUCGGGUUGUAAAGUACUUUCAGCGGGGAGGAAGGGAGUAAAGUUAAUACCUUUGCUCAUUGACGUUACCCGCAGAAGAAGCACCGGCUAACUCCGUGCCAGCAGCCGCGGUAAUACGGAGGGUGCAAGCGUUAAUCGGAAUUACUGGGCGUAAAGCGCACGCAGGCGGUUUGUUAAGUCAGAUGUGAAAUCCCCGGGCUCAACCUGGGAACUGCAUCUGAUACUGGCAAGCUUGAGUCUCGUAGAGGGGGGUAGAAUUCCAGGUGUAGCGGUGAAAUGCGUAGAGAUCUGGAGGAAUACCGGUGGCGAAGGCGGCCCCCUGGACGAAGACUGACGCUCAGGUGCGAAAGCGUGGGGAGCAAACAGGAUUAGAUACCCUGGUAGUCCACGCCGUAAACGAUGUCGACUUGGAGGUUGUGCCCUUGAGGCGUGGCUUCCGGAGCUAACGCGUUAAGUCGACCGCCUGGGGAGUACGGCCGCAAGGUUAAAACUCAAAUGAAUUGACGGGGGCCCGCACAAGCGGUGGAGCAUGUGGUUUAAUUCGAUGCAACGCGAAGAACCUUACCUGGUCUUGACAUCCACGGAAGUUUUCAGAGAUGAGAAUGUGCCUUCGGGAACCGUGAGACAGGUGCUGCAUGGCUGUCGUCAGCUCGUGUUGUGAAAUGUUGGGUUAAGUCCCGCAACGAGCGCAACCCUUAUCCUUUGUUGCCAGCGGUCCGGCCGGGAACUCAAAGGAGACUGCCAGUGAUAAACUGGAGGAAGGUGGGGAUGACGUCAAGUCAUCAUGGCCCUUACGACCAGGGCUACACACGUGCUACAAUGGCGCAUACAAAGAGAAGCGACCUCGCGAGAGCAAGCGGACCUCAUAAAGUGCGUCGUAGUCCGGAUUGGAGUCUGCAACUCGACUCCAUGAAGUCGGAAUCGCUAGUAAUCGUGGAUCAGAAUGCCACGGUGAAUACGUUCCCGGGCCUUGUACACACCGCCCGUCACACCAUGGGAGUGGGUUGCAAAAGAAGUAGGUAGCUUAACCUUCGGGAGGGCGCUUACCACUUUGUGAUUCAUGACUGGGGUGAAGUCGGAACAAGGUA